GAUGAACGCUGGCGGCGUGCCUAAUACAUGCAAGUCGAGCGAACAGACGAGGAGCUUGCUUCUCUGAUGUUAGCGGCGGACGGGUGAGUAACACGUGGAUAACCUACCUAUAAGACUGGGAUAACUUCGGGAAACCGGAGCUAAUACCGGAUAAUAUUUUGAACCGCAUGGUUCAAAAGUGAAAGACGGUCUUGCUGUCACUUAUAGAUGGAUCCGCGCUGCAUUAGCUAGUUGGUAAGGUAACGGCUUACCAAGGCAACGAUGCAUAGCCGACCUGAGAGGGGGAUCGGCCACACUGGAACUGAGACACGGUCCAGACUCCUACGGGAGGCAGCAGUAGGGAAUCUUCCGCAAUGGGCGAAAGCCUGACGGAGCAACGCCGCGUGAGUGAUGAAGGUUUUCGGAUCGUAAAACUCUGUUAUUAGGGAAGACCAUAUGUGUAAGUAACUGUGCACAUCUUGACGGUACCUAAUCAGAAAGCCACGGCUAACUACGUG
rnacentral:rRNA from 1 species